UCCGGCAGCAACUGCAAUUAGGGGUAGUCCAGUGCUAAAUUGUCGCAGCCUUGAAAAUAUUCUGCUUCGUUAUUUCGGGCACUCCACAGAUUCUGUUGCGAAGGCAGCCAUCUUUAGUUCGUCUUUCCUAGAGAGAAUUUUAUACUGAGGAGACAUCUUAUUUUGUGUGAGCUGCAAAGUUGCUUUACAUCUUUGCCAGCAGCUGAUAAGGGUGGGCCAUAAACCCAAUUUGUGUCCCUUGGGCUGGUGAUUCUGCUGGAAAUCCUGAUCAGCUGCUUAGCUUUUCAGCCGCAACUUUGUUCUCUCCUAGUUUUUCUCAGCAGAAUGGUUGAGCUAAACUGGCUGCAUUACCAUGGAAGCAGACAUCUCUACAUAUACUGUUUUUUUGGAAUAUGUUUUAGUUUUAAUUGUUUUUCAUUGUAUAGCCAGUUGAUCCUUUUUGUUGUUGCUGUUGUCGUUGUUUUUUGAGAUGGAAUCUUGCUCUGUCACCCAGGGUGGAGUGCAGUGGCACAAUCUCGGCUCACAGCAACCUCCGCCUCCCGGAUUCAAGCAAUUCUCCUACCUCAGCCUCCCAAGUAGCUGGGAUUACAGGCACACGCCACCACGCCCGGCUAACUUUUUUUUUGUAUUUUAGUAAAGACAGGGUUUCACUGUGUUCCCUAGGCUGGUCGCAAACUCCUGAGCUCAGGCAAUCCGCCCGCCUCGGCCUCCCAAAGUGCUGGGAUUACAGGAGUGAGCCACUAUGCCCAGCCAAUCCAUUCUUUAUGUCAAUAAGAUUAAAACAUCUUUUAAGGCAGAAAAUCCUCCUGUAGAGUGUGUCUUUUCUCUCAUAAUUUGAUUAGUAUCCUACAAUUUAGUUAUUUUAUUGGUUGUCUAAAUGAUCUGGUUUCUUACAUGUGCUGGGUAUGUAAACACAGGUACAUUAUUGAGGUACAGCCUAAUGCAAAACAGACAAGUAAAUAUGGAGUAUAUUACAGAAGAUACAUUUUGUAGUAAUUAUGUUUCAGUAAUGGCUAGAAUAUUAUCUAUACCUAUUUGUAUUGUGUUUGCUGGUUACCCUAGGGAUUAGCAUAGGAAUCUUUUACUUACCUUGGUCUACUUACAGUUAAGAUAGUGCCAAUUUAUGUAUAUGAAGCUUCACAAUAGGAUGAAUCUAUUUAUUCUCCCUUACUUUUUGCUCUUAUGUUUAAUAUUUUAUUUAAAUAUUUUUUAAAAAACUUAAGUUGAUUACGUAUAAUUUAUUUUUGCCCAUUUUCUUCAAUUACUUUUAUAUGUGUAUUUGUAAUCAUGUAUCAAAUGUGUGUAUUUAUUUACAACUAAAUCCAAUGUAUAUAC
ensembl:lncRNA novel transcript